UGGGGAAUAUUGGACAAUGGGCGCAAGCCUGAUCCAGCCAUGCCGCGUGAGUGAUGAAGGCCUUAGGGUUGUAAAGCUCUUUCGCCGGUGAAGAUAAUGACGGUAACCGGAGAAGAAGCCCCGGCUAAACUUCGUGCCAGCAGCCGCGGUAAUACGGAGGGGGCUAGCGUUGCUCGGAAUCACUGGGCGUAAAGCGCACGUAGGCGGAUCGUUAAGUCAGGGUGAAAUCCUGGAGCUCAACCCCAGAACUGCCCUUGAUACUGGCGAUCUCGAGUUCGAGAGAGGUUGGUGGAACUCCGAGUGUAGAGGUGAAAAAUUCGUAGAUAUUCGGAAGAACACCAGUGGCGAAGCGGCCAACUGGCUCGAUACUGACGCUGAGGUGCGAAAGCGUGGGGAGCAAAACAGGAUUAGAUACCCUGGUAGUCCACGCCGUAAAACGAUGGAUGCUAGCCGUUGGGGGGUUUACCUCUCAGUGGCGCAGCU
rnacentral:rRNA from 1 species